AUUUGUAGCAUUAGAAACCUUCAUCAACCCGAUCUCAUCUGAUCUAGGAAGCUAAGCAGGGUUUAACCUGGUUAGUACUUGGCGGGGAGAAACCUUCAUCAAGAAGACAGAAAGAGAACAAGUCAGCAACUU
rnacentral:rRNA from 1 species